rnacentral:rRNA from 1 species
CCUACGGGGGGCAGCAGUGAGGAAUAUUGGUCAAUGGACGAGAGUCUGAACCAGCCAAGUAGCGUGAAGGAUGACUGCCCUAUGGGUUGUAAACUUCUUUUAUAUGGGAAUAAAAUGUUCCACGUGUGGGAUUUUGUAUGUACAAUAUGAAUAAGGAUCGGCUAACUCCGUGCCAGCAGCCGCGGUAAUACGGAGGAUCCGAGCGUUAUCCGGAUUGAUUGGGGUUAAAGGGAGCGUAGGUGGAUUGUUAAGUCAGUUGUGAAAGUUUGCGGCUCAACCGUAAAAUUGCAGUUGAAACUGGCAGUCUUGAGUACAGUAGAGGUGGGCGGAAUUCGUGGUGUAGCGGUGAAAUGCUUAGAUAUCACGAAGAACUCCGAUUGCGAAGGCAGCUCACUGGACUGCAACUGACACUGAGGCUCGAAAGUGUGGGUAUCAAACAGGAUUAGAUACCCCAGUAGUC